GGCCGAGUGGCCUAAUGGUAAGGCGUUGCUUUCCGGUAAUCUCCGGUAUCUCCGGUAUUGGGAACCAGCAAAGAUUGCGCGUUCGAGUCGCGUCUUGGUCG
rnacentral:tRNA from 1 species